CUGAUGCUUUCUUCUUGGGUGCCGGCUAUGUCGAUUCUGAAACCAAGGUGGCUUGAAUUCACGUUGCCAAUCUUCCCGGAUGAAGCGGAGAGUAUGCGGCGGAGAGUGGGGUACGGGAUGGUGCAGAUACCAUCACAGGGCCGCCUGCGAAUGGGUCGCGCGGAGCAGGGAUGGCGGUGGCGGAGCCUCGGUUGGGAGAUUCCGCGGGCAGCUUGGUGAAGGCUCCAACAGAGUACGGGGGGCCGUAGGGGCGGAGAUCUACGGCGGGCCGGCGUACAGCGAGAGAGAGGCAGCUAGUGGAUAUGUCAUGGAGGCAGAUGCAGGGGAUGGAGCCGUGGCUGGAGACCAGCUUGCUGUGGUUGAGGAGCGUGCCGGUAGUGAGGCUGCAGCAUCCGCACAGUCGACGGGGAAAAUCCAUCCGCAAGCUCCAUGGUGGACAAAAAGGUGGUAAUAAUUGAUCCACACUUUUUGCUUCCAAUUGUAGUUUGCCCCCCAAGGAGCAUUUUUGAGGAUGUAGAAUUGGUCUCUUCGCCAAGUUAACGAAACAGUUCUAAAAUCUACUCCCUCCGAUGGAUUGGAGGGAGUAUAUAAUUAGUCAACGAUUACAAUUUGACAACAAUGUGUAUGACGCACUUAGGUUCCAGCACACCUGCAAAAGCGGUUUGCGAGGAGCAUUAUUUUGAUCGCUAUAUAUAUUGUCAGCGGUGGAAUUGGUGUGGAAAUUAUUUGGGCCAAGGUGGAUAGGGUAAUGGUGAAGCAUCUUUCGCGUAGGAUUGAGGCAUUCACGUUUUUACUGAAUUUACAGGAGAUCUGAUAUCGGUGAAGGCUGGAGUACAGACGCAGAGAUCAGUGAAGAGGUGCAUGAAGGUAGUGAUGGAGGGGUUAGUCAAGGGAUCAGAGGGGACGAGUGUGCUUCGUGCUGGUGAUGUGCAUGAGAACCACCAGGGGAUGUAUAUGGCGACGAAAAUGAUCGGGUAGACAGGGCUGAGGACGACAAACGAGGCAAUGCUGUUGGCUAGCAGGAGAUAAAAGUUUUUUUUGUGUGUUGUUUGAUAAGGUUAAUUGUUUGGGAGUGUACUGAAGAAGUCGGAGUAACACGCCUGCUUGCUGAUCGUAGGCAGAGAGACAUGAGCAGGUGCCCUGUGUUGAGCUGCCGGAAGUGGUGGGGGAGCAUGAUCCCGAACGCAGACGAGCCGCCUGCUGGUAUGCUGGAGGAGUACGAAGAAUCUGGCGUCACAUGGCACUGUGACGAUGGAUCCGAGGAUGAAGACCAAGUGUCAUCUUGCAAGCUGAAGCGUCGUCGCCUGUAAGACUUCGACGGGAGGUGUACUGUUACACAGUCCGUACACUUUUUUGUUGUUGUUGAGAAUACGCAGUCCGUAGCUAGAUAUCGGUGAUUAGAGCACCGGUAAUAAGUAGUUAUGGACUUAUGGGUGGCCACAAGCCCACAACGGUCUUUUGUAUGCUGGAAUGGGCAAAUGUCGGAAUGAUGUGUCGCUUUGGU